UACGUAGGGGGCAAGCGUUGUCCGGAUUUACUGGGCGUAAAGAGCGUGUAGGCGGCCAAACAGGUCCGUUGUGAAAACUGGAGGCUCAACCUCCAGACGUCGACGGAAACCGUGUGGCUAGAGUCCGGAAGAGGAGAGUGGAAUUCCUGGUGUAGCGGUGAAAUGCGCAGAUAUCAGGAAGAACACCAAUGGCAAAGGCAGCUCUCUGGGACGGUACUGACGCUGAGACGCGAAAGCGUGGGGAGCGAACAGG
rnacentral:rRNA from 1 species